rnacentral:rRNA from 1 species
AGAUGGCAUCAUGAGUCCGCAUGUUCACAUGAUUAAAGGUAUUCCGGUAGACGAUGGGGAGUGCGUUCCAUUAGAUAGUAGGCGGGGUAACGGCCCACCUAGUCUUCGAUGGAUAGGGGUUCUGAGAGGAAGGUCCCCCACAUUGGAACUGAGACACGGUCCAAACUCCUACGGGAGGCAGCAUG